ACGGACGAACCUCUAGUGUGCCAGUUGUUCCGCCAGGGGCAUUGCUGGUUGGCCACGUUCGGGAGGGAUAACCGCUGAAAGCAUCUAAGCGGGAAGCCUGCUUCGAGAUUAGUUCUCGUUCCACCUUUGGGGUGGGUGAGGUCCCCGGUUGAUGAUCGGGUUGAUAGGCCAGGGAUGUAAGCAUUGUGAGGUGUUUAGUUGACUGGUACUAAUGGACCGAUAACCAAAACAA
rnacentral:rRNA from 1 species